CAAUAGCGUAUAUUUAAGUUGUUGCAGUUAAAAAGCUCGUAGUUGGAUUUCGGAUGGGACUUGCCGGUCCGUCGUUUCGAUGUGCACUGGCCAGUCCUAUCUUGUUGUCGGGGACUCGCUCCUGGGCUUCACUGUCCGGGACUAGGAGCUGACGAGGUUACUUUGAGUAAAUUAGAGUGUUCAAAGCAAGCCUACGCUCUGAAUACAUUAGCAUGGAAUAACACGAUAGGACUCUGGCUUAUCUUGUUGGUCUGUGAGACCAGAGUAAUGAUUAAGAGGGACAGUCGGGGGCAUUCGUAUUUCAUUGUCAGAGGUGAAAUUCUUGGAUUUAUGAAAGACGAACUUCUGCGAAAGCAUUUGUCAAGGAUGUUUUCAUUAA
rnacentral:rRNA from 1 species